rnacentral:rRNA from 1 species
CCUACGGGUGGCAGCAGUGAGGAAUAUUGGUCAAUGGGCGGAAGCCUGAACCAGCCAAGUCGCGUGAGGGAUUAAGGCCCUGUGGGUCGUAAACCUCUUUUGUCGGGGAGCAGUGGUCCGGACGAGUCCGGGCCGGGAGAGUACCCAGAGAAAAAGCCUCGGCUAACGCGGUGCCAGCAGCCGCGGUAAUACGGGGGAUGCGCGCGUUAUCGGGAUUUUUUGGGUUUAAAGGGUGCGUAGGCGGUCAUUUAAGCCGGCGGUCAAAUUUCGGGGCUCAACCCCGGCCUGCCGUCGGAACUGGGUGCCUAGAGUGGGCGAGAGGUAUGCGGAAUGCGUGGUGUAGCGGUGAAAUGCAUAGAUAUCACGCAGAACCCCGAUUGCGAAGGCAGCAUACCGGCGCCCGACUGACGCUGAGGCACGAAAGUGUGGGUAUCGAACAGGAUUAGAUACCCUAGUAGUC